rnacentral:misc_RNA from 1 species
GAGGGAUUUUAGUUGCAUUUUGCAUCGUAAAUAUGUUGUAUACAGUUUUUCUGUGGUAUCUCAUAGACCAAAAAAUAAGGCGAAGUAAACAAUGAGGACUACUGAGUACUGAGGGGUCAUGCUAAACUUACCGCUAAGCUUACAAAGAAUCCGAGAAAUGCACCAGCUAUGACUUCAACCUCUGUAUGACCAACCUGUUCUUUCAACGGAGCAAAACUAGACGAUGGGGCUCUUCUCUCAUCGGGUUUAAGCAAUAAAGUAGCAUUCUUUGACCUUGGUUGAAAUGAACUUGAUUCUUCUGAUAAUUGAGGAUCAGAGUUCUCUGCCUCUGAGGAUAAUUUCUCUUGUAUAGAAUCAGUCAAAACAUCAAGUUCGCUAGUAGACGGAACUGAGUUUAUUUGAUUUCUGAACAAAGCUUUAUUGAACGCUUUUGCGUGAAUGCCUACUUCCCUUCGGACUCCCUGUGCAUCAUACAUCACAAGGCCUGCGUAAACCACUGCUAAACCAAAAAUCGAAUCAGAAAACCCCCUUUCCAAGCCAAGGGCUGUGGCUGUGGCGACUACUGCAGAUGAGUGUGUCGAAGGGAAACCCCCAGCCUGAAAGGCAGUCUUGAAAUCGAACUCAUUGCCAUAAAAUAGAGAUGAAGUAAAAGGCUUCAUUAGCUGACCAACUGCUGCAGAUACAGCUGCUGCAACCAAAACCUUGUUAUGGACAACAUCAGU